UGGGGAAUCUUCCGCAAUGGACGAAAGUCUGACGGAGCAACGCCGCGUGAGUGACGACGGCCUUCGGGUUGUAAAGCUCUUUGAUCCGGGACGAAUAGCCGGAGUACUAAUACUACUUUGGAAUGACGGUACCGGAAGAACAAGCCACGGCUAACUACGUGCCAGCAGCCGCGGUAAUACGUAGGUGGCAAGCGUUGUCCGGAAUUAUUGGGCGUAAAGCGCGCGCAGGCGGCCCUUUAAGUCCAUCUUAAAAGCGUGGGGCUCAACCCCAUGAGGGGAUGGAAACUGGAGAGCUGGAGUAUCGGAGAGGAAAGCGGAAUUCCUGGUGUAGCGGUGAAAUGCGUAGAGAUCAGGAAGAACACCGGUGGCGAAGGCGGCUUUCUGGACGACAACUGACGCUGAGGCGCGAAAGCGUGGGGAGCAAACAGG
rnacentral:rRNA from 1 species